rnacentral:siRNA from 1 species
UCAGUGACUAUGGUUGAUCUUGCU